UGGCACCGCCCCGCACCCAUUGCGUCACAGAGAACGGCCUCCAAGCCCCAAGACACACCAACGGCCUCUGCACCCCGAUUGGCUGGCAGUCGGGGAGGGGGAGGACCCGAGCGGACCCUCCCGUCCUGAUUUGCCGUAUAGCUAAGCAGGACUGAAGUUUCACUAUAUAAACUGGGGUCCAAGAAGGAGAUCAGCAAAAGAAAAAGAAGGAAAGACCUGGAAGAAGAACUCACCUCUAAGACACAGCCUAAGAUCAGAGCUGCUAAGAAUCCUCUGCACAACCAUGAUGUGCAGCAACCAGAAGCCAGACGAGACCAACCUUGCCUGGCCAACAGGGAAAGUCCGCCUCCAUGAUCAGGAUUGUUUCCUUGCAAAUCAGAUCCCAGAACCAGCUUUGUGUGACACCCUGAAAAUUCCAUGCUAACAUGCCACAUCCACUACAGAGUGAACAUAGUUUUUAGGGUCAAGUGGAGGCUUUUUUUUUUAAUUAUUAUUAUUA